rnacentral:sRNA from 1 species
GGAUGUGAGGGCGUUCUGGCUGCGACAUCUGUCACCCCAUUGAUCGCCAGGGUUGAUUCGGCUGAUCUGGCUGGCUAGGCAGGUGUCCCCUUCCUCCCUCACCGCUCCAUGUGCGUCCCUCCCGAAGCUGUGCGCUCAGUUGAAGAGGACAAUCUUACCCGACGGGGGAAAAAAAAGAAUUCUCGUGUACCCUUUGCCCCAUUUCCCCUGGUGGUAAUGUCUUGCAAAACUACAGUACAGUAUCAUGACCAUGAUAAUGA